GAUGAACGCUGGCGGCGUGCUUAACACAUGCAAGUCGAACGGUGAGGCGCCUUCCUUUUUGGUGGGUGUGGAUGGGCGGCGAACGGGUGAGUAACACGUGAGUAUCCUGCUCCGUCCUUCUGGAUAACCGCAUGACAGUGUGGCUACUACGUGACAUUCUGGGUCUGUCGCUUGAUCGGUCAGGGACAGACUUUGUUUCGGUGGUGGAUGGGCUCGCGCCGUAUCAGCUUGUUGGUGGGGUGAUGGCCUACCAAGGCGAUGAGGAGUAGCCGGCCUGAGAGGAUCGACGACCACACAGGGGCGGCGACACGGCGAAGACUACGACAGGCGGCAGCAGUGGAGAAUAUGGCACAGUGGGCGGAAGGCUGAUGCAGCGACGCGGCGGGAGAGAUGGAGGCCGGCGCGUUGAGAACCUCUUUCGCGAGAGAAGCAGGCCGGCAGCGUUUGUGGAUGGGUUGACGGUAGCUGGACAGGAAGCGCCGGCUAACUACGUG
rnacentral:rRNA from 1 species